rnacentral:rRNA from 1 species
CGUGCCUAACACAUGCAAGUCAACUUGACUGAAGAGCAAUCUGACAGUAGAGUGGCGCAAGGGUGCGUAACGCGUAAGUAACUUGCCCCAAGGUAAGGAAUAACGUCGAGAAAUCGGCGCUAAUACCUCAUAAUGCAGCGGAUCCGCAUGGAUAUGUUGUUAAAGGUUUACCGCCUUGGGAUAGGCUUGCGUCUGAUUAGCUAGUUGGUGUGGUAACGGCACACCAAGGCCACGAUCAGUAACUGGUCUGAGAGGAUGAUCAGUCACACUGGAACUGAGACACGGUCCAGACUCCUACGGGAGGCAGCAGUGAGGAAUAUUGGGCAAUGCUCGAAAGAGUGACCCAGCAACGCCGCGUGGAGGAUGAAGGUAUUCUAUAUCGUAAACUCCUGUGAGAGCAGACGAAAGACAGAUUAUUAAUCUGGAUGACUGUAUGCUCAGAGGAAGCCCCGGCUAACUACGUG